rnacentral:pre_miRNA from 1 species
AAUGGAAUUGCUGGGUCUUAUGGUAAGUGUAUGUUUAACUUUUUAAGAAAUUGCUGGACUGUUUUCCAAAGUGGCUGUACCAUUUUGCAUUCCUGCUGGCAAU